UCAGCCUGACUCUACAAGCUGCCCCACCGGCCGCAGGCUGGCUCAUUGUCUUUUCUGUCAAUUUGCAUCUCAUUACCCAGAAGGCUAUGCUCGCUAGAGGUUAAAAGAAAAAGAGAAUCAAGCCCCACCGCACCCUGCCUCCAGCUAGAGCACAAUCCACACAUCGGACAGAGCUGCCUGGUGCACUGCCUCAUGAGGUACACUCCAUGGGAAGCCUACCAGCUCUACCACCCCCAUCUCCAUCAUCACCACUGAUGCCCACUUAACCACUACCAACAUUGCUCAUCACCCAACACCAUUAUUCCAUCACUGGUCCUCCCAUCACCAAUCACCACUACUAUUAUUACCUUCAUCUCCAUCAUCACAGGCACCAACACCAUCACUGUCACCUCCACCACCACCACCUUCACCACUGUAGCCAUCACCCCACUGGGGCAUCUCUGCUAGCACCUCACAUUACCUCAUGAUCACCAGCUGCUUCAUCACCUCUGCAUCCCUCAGGGAAGUCUGGUGAACAGGUAGAGACCACGGACUCUAUCUUUCUCUGACCAUAACCCUCCAGCAUUAUGUGAAGGUUAGAGAAGCCAUAAACAAAUGAUCCAGUGAUCAGAGACCUCAUAACUCAACCACCUGGACACUGGUGCUUAUAAUUGGGUGUCCCAGGAAGGAAGCCCAUAAGACAGGGUCUAGUUGAGGAUGCCUGCCACUCGACAGAGCCCCUAGGAGACUGGGCUUUGUUUACUCCCCUGAUUAGCACUCACUGCAUCUUGAGGGGCAGAGCAAGGAGCUGCAUAUGUGACACGGUGACUGACACCCUGUCUGAACCUCGGUUGCUUCAUCUCCAAAGUGGGGCUUCUAAUCGUCUUGACCUCAUAAGGCUGUGUGAGGAUGAGAAUAGAUAAUGAGAGGAGAAUAUUGAGCAUCCAGGACCCGUUGGAUGGUCACAUAAAACCUGUGGGCAAGGAAAGUGAUUAGAUCAGGCUGGGAAGGCUUCUGGGAAGAGGGGGCAGCAGAGCAGACUUGAAACAAGGUCAGAUGGAUGGGAAAAAGGAGCAGACUCCAAGUGGGAGCCUGAACAGGGCCAAGUUGUGGAGGUGGGAAUGAGUGGGCUGCUUCUCUGUGGGGAGAGGACAGUCAAGGCCAGGGCAGCUGAAGCAGGCCUUUGCUCCUCCUGAGCAUCCUUGGGUAUUUGUGUUCACGGUGUGGCUAAGACUCUUCCAUAGGACACCAUGGUUUGCAUCUUGCUUCACACAUGUGUUCCCUCUAAGCCCCAUGGAGCCCAAUCACUAUGCCCAUUCUACUGACAAGGGCACCAAGGCGGAGACGAGCCUAACCCAAGGCAAAGUUAGGGGCUUCCCUGCAGAGGUCACCCAGAAGAGUGGGAAUUGGAGCCAGAUCUUUCCACUCAGGCCAUUACUCUGCUGGGUGUGAUGCCUGAGACUCAACCUCAUCACUAUCCACCAGCUUUGGUGGCAGCAGCAUGAGCACCACCUGGAAUACAAAGCUGGGCACUGGUUGGCCCGGAGGCAAUGCUGGGGGCCUGGGAAGAGCUGACAGGCAGACAAAGGCCUGGAGGUGGAGGGUGGGGUGGGCACAGCCUGGUUGCCAGGAGGAAACGCCCAGGGUAAAAGCUGCUCUGAAUACUGGCUGCAUCCCGCUGCUGCAAUCAGCUUCGACACUUGGUUAUUAUGAGGAGUAAAGGCGGCCGGCGGGACAGCUGGAGCCUUGGCGACAACAUUUAAGGCGUUUGUCAGAGCCAUGGGACACGGGCUGCCAGGCGCUAAUGGCUUCUGCUUGCUGCUGCCAAGUGAUAGGAGGGUGGGCAGGUGGAGGCGGCCUUGCUCCUGCCCGGGCCCCAUGCCCACCUCAUGCAUCGUGGCUGCUCCACGACAGGUAGGGCCCACCUGGGCCUUACAGAUGCCUAGCAACGGCCGCAGAGCCAUGGUACCAGCUGGGGAGGGUGGGGCAGGCGGCCGUGCAGCACGUGCCUGCCUGUCUAGGACGUUAUCUUUUCCAUCUCCAUUCAGCCUGCGGCCCUGCUCUGCUGGGAAGACGGUCUGGUAGUCUGUCCUCUACCAUGCCAUCUCCCAAGAAAGGGGUCCUGGAUCCCAGGGGGCUAAGGCUGCUCAGCCCCUGAUCUCAGCCCUUUGGGUUGGACUUUGUGUGGAAGGGACCCUUCUAGUGACAGACCCAUGGUGGACUCAGAUCCAUCCUGACUGGGUGAUUUCAGCUCUCCUAGCCCCAGUUUUCCUCCUUGAGAAAUGGGAAAAUGGAACCAUCCAAUCAGGGAGCCUGCAUCAGUGAGAAAACAGGGGAUGCUGAGGUGCUGGUGAUAGGGAACCCAAGGGCACCUGAGCUUAUUAGGAAGGGCUAAUGUCCCAGUCACAUGUCACCUGGCAGUAGGGGGAGUGUGGCCCCCGGGCCUGCCUGAAGACGAGGACAGCCCCCAGAGGAAGAACCAGAGAAAACUGCAGAGAUCACAGCCAGGGAUUUUCCAGGGAGGAGAAACCCAUGGCCAGGUGACCAGGCAGGGCUCUGAGUAAAAAAUGUUCCUGAAACAUCCAUGGCCAGGAAGGAAUUCCUGCAUCUGGAAGUGAAUUUGUAGUAUCUGUGCUUCAUACACACUGAGUGCUCGAUGUGCCCCAGCACCGUUCAUUAAUCCCUAGAGCAGCCCCUACAAAGCAGGUCCCAUUUCUAACCUAUGCUGCAGAUCAGGAAGCCGAGGCUCAGAUGUGGUUGCUCAGUUUGUCUGCAGCCAUAGCUCUCUGAGAGCAAGGAGGAGGGCGUUCCCCCUCCUCCACUCACUGACUCAUCCAUGAGACACCCUGAGCCCCUACUGAGGAGGAAGUGGGUCUUUGGCUGGCUAUGGAUCAGAGAGCAUGGGGUUGGAGGAAUGCCAUGGGGCUGGGAGAGGGAUCCAGGGCACAGGAGAAGACCUGGAUGGGCCUGAGCUCAGCCUUAGCUUUCCUGGAUGACCUUGCACUUGUCAUCCUGGGAGUUCCUGUCCAUCCCUCUCGCUCUGGCUGACGCCAGAAGAGGCAAGAGGGGUCCCUAAGAAGGUGGGGAGCUGUGUGCUCUUACCAAGGCCACCCACGAGCUCUGGCCCCCAGGAGCCCUCUGCCACCUACAGUCAGCCUCCAGCACUACUACUACAUGGAGGAUGUGUGUGCAUGUGCAUUCAAAUGUAUACACAAGUACAAGCAUGUGAGCAUGGGAACACACGCACAGACGUAAGAAAUCAUAUGUGAACACAGAUACACAUGUGGGAGUAUAUGAACAGUGUAUAUGUGCAUGCAUCCCCACAUGCGCUCAGGCGCAUUCACACAAGGCUGUUAAGUCCACACCUUCAUGUCCUGGACUCCCUUCCCAAGGCACAGGUGGCGAAAGGCCUCUUCCUGCUGUGGUUGGGUGUGGGGUGGCUCACUGGGCCUGUGGCUCCUGCCCACUCCUCCCUGGUCAAACAGACUCUUCUGGCUACCACCUGCCUUGUUCCUGCUGAGUGGUCCCUCCUGAAAUGUACCCUCAGUUUAUUCCCUGGUCUGCCUUCCUUCCUGACCUCACUCUAGCUUAUGAUCACUUUGCUUUGUGUGAUCUUAUCCCAACUAACACCAUAGUAUGGAAUAAAUGAAAAGGUGACCCCAAGACCCCUCUUCUUUCAACAAGCAUGUGUGUGGCCUGCGCUGGGGGCUGGAGACACAGGGUGAAUCAGACCCAGUCCCACCCUCCCAGACUGCCCAGUGGAGGGUAGGGGCUUCCACCUGUCUCCAUGCUCACCCUCCAACCCCGCAAUCACAGUACAGCCAAUACCAGGCCAGAUGCACAUGCAGACUGAGGAAGUCUUGGGCAUAGUCUCACAGCACCUGCCUGACAGGUGCCUUCAUCAUUACAGUUAUCACUCAUGUGACCAACACAACCAUGGGGAAUAAGGCUGGUGCUACUGAUCUGUUUUUCAGAAGAAAAACUAACAGGAGGAGGAUCUGGGACCCAAACCUGCCUAGGGUGGUCUGGCACUGGGCAGCCCAGGAAGAUCCAGCACUGCCUGCUGAGCUGACCCUGCAUCUCCUACCACCUGCUUGGAAGCAGCGCUCUGUGCACAGGAGGUAAUCCAUGCUGGUCGGGCAAACAGGAUGUGGAGCUUCCUGGCCUGACACAUGGCCCUUCAGUUUCCUCUGACCUGCAGCCACUCGGGAGAACUCAGCAGGAGGGCGAGUGAGUG